rnacentral:rRNA from 1 species
UAUCUCUGUAGAGUCUGCAUAUCAAUAAGCGGAGGAAAAGAAACUAACAAGGAUUCCCUUAGUAACGGCGAGUGAAGCGGGAAGAGCUCAAAUUUGAAAUCUUCAAGGUUCUACCUUGACGAAUUGUAGUUUAAAGAAGUGUUUUCUGUUGGUGUUUUGGUAAAAGUUCUUUGGAAUAGGACAUCAUAGAGGGUGAGAAUCCCGUAUUUGACCAUUACUUCCAGCGUUGUGAUACACUUUCAAAGAGUCGGAUUGUUUGGGAAUGCAGUCCAAAAUGGGUGGUAAAUUUCAUCUAAAGCUAAAUAUUGGCGAGAGACCGAUAGCGAACAAGUACCGUGAGGGAAAGAUGAAAAGAACUUUGAAAAGAGAGUUAAACAGUACGUGAAAUUGUCAAAAGGGAAGCGUUUGACACCAGUGUUGUUUUCUCGAAAAUCAAUUAAAAAAAGUUGGAUUUUGUAUUGUUAAGACCUUAUCGGCUUACUGUACUCUUUUCUUGCUUUUUUUAAUGCACUUUUCGUUUAACAAGUCAACAUCAAUUUCUUUUGUUGUAAAAGAGUCAUUGGAAGGUGGCCUUCACUUCGGUGAAAGUGUUUAUAGCCUUUGGCUUCUGCAAUCGGAGAGAUUGAGGUCUGCAGCGUAGAUCCUUCGGGGCUAGAUACGUAGAUGCUAAGUUAUAGUUUUUUAUAGACAACUUGUUGACUAUAAUUAAUCAUGUAGCUUACUCGUUUGCGCUAUUUUACCUACGCUUAGGAUGUUGAUAGUCACAGCGUGUAC